rnacentral:rRNA from 1 species
CCUACGGGCGGCAGCAGUGAGGAAUAUUGGUCAAUGGACGAGAGUCUGAACCAGCCAAGUAGCGUGAAGGAUGACUGCCCUAUGGGUUGUAAACUUCUUUUAUAAAGGAAUAAAACGAGGCACGUGUGCCUUUUUGCAUGUACUUUAUGAAUAAGGAUCGGCUAACUCCGUGCCAGCAGCCGCGGUAAUACGGAGGAUCCGAGCGUUAUCCGGAUUUAUUGGGUUUAAAGGGAGCGUAGAUGGGUUGUUAAGUCAGUUGUGAAAGUUUGCGGCUCAACCGUAAAAUUGCAAUUGAUACUGGCAGUCUUGAGUACAGUUGAGGUAGGCAGAAUUCGUGGUGUAGCGGUGAAAUGCUUAGAUAUCACGAAGAACCCCGAUUGCGAAGGCAGCUCACUAAACUAUGACUGACAUUGAUGCUCGAAAGUGUGGGUAUCAAACAGGAUUAGAUACCCGGGUAGUC